UGAGGUAAUGGCUCACCAAGGCGACGAUCAGUAUCCGGCCUGAGAGGGCGGACGGACACACUGGGACUGAGACACGGCCCAGACUCCUACGGGAGGCAGCAGUGGGGAAUUGUUCGCAAUGGGCGCAAGCCUGACGACGCAACGCCGCGUGGAGGACGAAGAUUUUCGGAUCGUAAACUCCUGUCGAACGGGAC
rnacentral:rRNA from 1 species